GAAAGAUGGCUUUGGCUAUCACUCUGGGAUGGACCUGCGGUGCAUUAGCUAGUUGGUAAGGUAACGGCUUACCAAGGCGAUGAUGCAUAGCCGAGUUGAGAGACUGAUCGGCCACAAUGGAACUGAGACACGGUCCAUACUCCUACGGGAGGCAGCAGUAGGGAAUCUUCCACAAUGGGCGCAAGCCUGAUGGAGCAACACCGCGUGAGUGAAGAAGGGUUUCGGCUCGUAAAGCUCUGUUGUUGGAGAAGAACGUGCGUGAGAGUAACUGUUCGCGCAGUGACGGUAUCCAACCAGAAAGUCACGGCUAACUACGUGCCAGCAGCCGCGGUAAUACGUAGGUGGCAAGCGUUAUCCGGAUUUAUUGGGCGUAAAGCGAGCGCAGGCGGUUGCUUAGGUCUGAUGUGAAAGCCUUCGGCUUAACCGAAGAAGUGCAUCGGAAACCGGGCAACUUGAGUGCAGAAGAGGACAGUGGAACUCCAUGUGUAGCGGUGGAAUGCGUAGAUAUAUGGAAGAACACCGGUGGCGAAGGCGGCUGUCUGGUCUGCAACUGACGCUGAGGCUCGAAAGCAUGGGUAGCGAACAGGAUUAGAUACCCUGGUAGUCCAUGCCGUAAACGAUGAGUGCUAGGUGUUGGAGGGUUUCCGCCCUUCAGUGCC
rnacentral:rRNA from 1 species